AUUCCAGCUCCAAUAGCGUAUAUUAAAGUUGUUGCGGUUAAAAAGCUCGUAGUUGGAGUUCUGCCAGGUGACGCUCGUCCGCCCAAGUGGUGUGUACAGGGCGUGCAUCUGGCCCUUUCAAGGGGAACGUGUCUGCUCUUUAUUGAGUGGUGCGAGAUCCUUGACUUUUACUUUGAGGAAAUCAGAGUGUUCCAAGCAGGCUCUCGUCGUGUAUAGCUCAGCAUGGAAUAAUAGCAUUGGACUUCGUUUCUAAGCUGUUGGUUGCAAGAAGCGAGGUAAUGAUGAAGAGGGAUAGUUGGGGGCAUUCGUAUUUAACUGUCAGAGGUGAAAUUCUUGGACCGUUUGAAGACGAACUAAGGCGAAAGCAUUUGCCAAGAAUGUUUUCAUUA
rnacentral:rRNA from 1 species